rnacentral:tRNA from 2 species
GGAGAAAUGGCCGAGCGGCUGAAGGCGCUCCCCUGCUAAGGGAGUAUAGGGUUUAUAGCUCUAUCGAGGGUUCGAAUCCCUCUUUCUCCGCCA